ensembl:misc_RNA Metazoa_SRP Metazoan signal recognition particle RNA
GCCAGGCAUGGUGGUAUGUGCCUGUACUCCUUGCUACUCAGGAGGCUGAGACAGGAGGAUCACUUGAGACCAGGAGGUUAAGGUUGCAGUGAGCCAUGAUUGUGCUACUGUGCUCAGGUGUCCAUACUAGGUUUGGCAUCAAAUGGUGACCUCCCAGGAGCAGGGGACCGCCAGGUUGCCUAAGGAGGGGUGAACCGGCCCAGGUCAGAAACGGAGCAGGUCAAAACUCCUGUGCUGAUCAGAGCCUGUGAAUAUCCACUACACUCUAGCCUGGGCAACAUAGUGAGACCUGUCUCUA